GUGCUCGCUUUAACAGCACAUAUACUAAAAUUGGAAUAACACAGAGAAAAUUAGCAUGGCCCCUGCUAUGCACAAGAAUGACAUGCAGAUUCCCAUCACCCCCACUGCCGUCACUCUUUUUU
rnacentral:snRNA from 1 species